GGGUGCCACUGCGAGAUCCCAUGAAGAAGAAAGUGAAAAGAUAAAACUUACUUUCUUGCAAAAUCUUAGAUCUUGAAACUCUAGGUGUUGUUGUAUGUGAUGCAAGUUGUGAAGAUGGUUAGUUACAUUAAUCUUAUUUAAUCAAAAUUAUUUUAAUUUAAAAUUAUAAAAAUUUAAAUUUGAUCUAAAAUAUUUUUUGAUUUGAUGUAAAAAGUUUACAUGAAAAAUUAUUUUUGAAACCUUAACUAUGUUGAUGCAAAACUUAAUUGAGAAUUAAGUAUCA
rnacentral:lncRNA from 1 species